rnacentral:rRNA from 1 species
GUCCACGCCGUAAACGAUGGGUACUAGGUGUUGGGGGUAUUGACCCCUCCAGUGCCGCAGUUAACGCACUAAGUACCCCGCCUGGGAAGUACGGCCGCAAGGCUAAAACUCAAAGGAAUUGACGGGGGCCCGCACAAGCGGUGGAGCAUGUGGUUUAAUUCGACGCAACGCGAAGAACCUUACCUGGGCUUGACAUCCCGGGAAUCCCCUGGAAACAGGGGGGUGCCCGCAAGGGAACCCGGAGACAGGUGCUGCAUGGCUGUCGU